rnacentral:lncRNA from 1 species
UUUUUUUUUUACACCCGAUUUUAUUAAGAAGAAACAAGAAAGAUUAAGUGUUCAAAAAAAAAAAAAAAACGAGAAGGAUUACAAGAUAGCGUUCUUACACCGAAAAGAUUACACCCGGUACAUAAGCCAACGGUCACACAGAACCAACCCUGGAAACUAUGCCCAUACAAGGGAUCCCAACAAACACAUACACAUAACAAUAAAGAAAGAUAGAGACAACUGAAAACAAAAGUCACCGGCGAAGACUCCAAACGAACAUGAAACAACAGAUUCAGAACUCCAUGAAAAAUACUUAUAGAGAUUGCCCACGGCUAAACCACCGAUAAGCCACUUUCUCCUUGAACAACGAGGGAAUACCUCAGGACCAAAUAACCAAACUCCACCUUCCGACAAGUUGGAAUCAACAGAUUCACCACACACUCUCGGAAACGGCAGGGCAAGCACGACCGUUGAAUGCCUAGUGAUGGAGCUUAUGAAGAAACCAGAUCACACCUGGAUCUGACAGAGAAACAAGGAGCAAAGCCUAACCGAACUCAGAGACACCAAUCCCACAUGACUGGCUCACUACAAAACCAGAAAGAAUCCACAGCAGCUUCCAAAAAAGUGAACAAGCCCACCCAAAAUCCCACCAGUAACAAGAUAGAGAAAGGAAUGGAGAAACAAACCGUUGAUCUAACGAUCCGGUACUUUCAAUUCAGAAAUCUAACACAGAUUUGAGAAAGAAAGCUAAGCUUUUCCAACCAAAAUCUCCAUCAAAAUAGGUUCCAGUUGCUACACGCUAAACAUGUGAUAAACUAGAAGGAAAACUAAGCAGAUUGGGACCGGUGCUGGCGUUAACAGAACCACCACGCGCCGGUCAUCAGAGUAACUCAUACUGCAAAGAGGAGGAGAAACUAGAGGGAUGAGUGAGAAGAGAUUAUCAUGUUGUUUUUCUAAACAUUUUGUUGGUAAUAUUAUCUAAACAUUAGGACAUUGUUGUUCCAUUUUCUUCAAAAAGGCUUUGCAAUUUUUUUUUUUUUGUUUGCACAGGCUUUGUAAAGUUAUUAUAACUAAUCCUUAACACAAAAAUCAAAUGCCG